UUAGUGGUGUAAUACCACUGCAUAGUGAUAUCUUAAAAGUUGAGCUAUUAGCUGAUUAUUUUUCUAUAUGGCCAAUUAAGUUCAAAAUAAGACCAAUGGCAUAACACCUAGAAUGUGGCUCAAGAUCGUCGAACUAUAGCAAAUUGGUCUAAAAGACAAUGGGUCACCAACCUAGACCUGCUUGUGGGUUUGCAGGAGGUUCAAAUGGAAACGACAACUUCGUUGUCAUUGCUUAGCAAUUAUCUAUAAAGCACCUCAAAAUAUACUGGAAUGGUUCAAGCAUCCACAAAGACAUCUUUAGAGAAGAAAGCCUUUUAGAAACACUACCUUCAAUCAGUAUGUUCACGUCAGCUUUAAGUUUGGUGGAUAAGCUAUGCUGAUAUCUCAGGCAUUAAUGUUUCUUAUAGCUUGC
rnacentral:lncRNA from 1 species